rnacentral:rRNA from 1 species
GUCCCAGACUCCUACGGGAGGCAGCAGUGGGGAAUAUUGCACAAUGGGGGGAACCCUGAUGCAGCGAUGCCGCGUGGAGGAAGAAGGUUUUCGGAUUGUAAACUCCUUUUAUCAGGGACGAUAAUGACGGUACCUGAAGAAAAAGCAUCGGCUAACUCCGUGCCAGCAGCCGCGGUAAUACGGAGGAUGCGAGCGUUAUCCGGAUUUAUUGGGUUUAAAGGGUGCGUAGGCGGAAUGCCAAGUCAGCGGUAAAAUCGCGGGGCUCAACCUCGCUCCGCCGUUGAAACUGGCGUUCUUGAGUGGGCGAGAAGUAUGCGGAAUGCGUGGUGUAGCGGUGAAAUGCAUAGAUAUCACGCAGAACUCCGAUUGCGAAGGCAGCGUACCGGCGCCCAACUGACGCUCAUGCACGAAAGCGUGGGUAUCGAACAGGAUUAGAUACCCGCGUAAG